GGGUGCGAUCAUACUAGCACUAAUGCAUUGGAUCCCAUUAGAAUUCCGUAGUUAAGUGUGCUUGGGCGAGAGUAGUACUAGGAUGGGUGGCUCCUUAGAAAGUUCACGUGUUGCACCCC